CCGGCGCCGGCCCACUGGCCGGGCCUCCCGGGCCGACUCAACGAAAUGCAAGUCCGUCAAGUUCAGUGUCAAGUGCAAAAUGGUCCAAUAAGUGAAAGUGUUGCAAAGCAAAGCGUGCAUGUUUGUUUAGCCUAAGUGUAGUGCAGUGUAGUUUAUCCUAAGUAUAGUGCAGUGUAGUGAAGUAGUAGUAGUGCUCAAGUGUAAGCUUUCAGCCUGCCGCCUAUAUAGGCAGACCAGCCUAAGAUCGCGAUUUUCCUCACCCCCUCUCGCCCGCAAACUCCUAUACCGCCUGUACUAGCCCAGUCGCGACCUUAGGCUGGUCUCAGUAUAGUGCUGUGUAGUGAAGUGUCAAGUGUCAAGUGCUCAAGUCUCAAGCUCUGCGUGGGUGUGGGUGGCACCCGCGCCCCGCUGUCUCCGCUGGACUCUGCGCUCCGUUAGUCUGGCUGGCUGGCGAUCGACUCACGAAUAGCCAGCUUAUUUGUCCUUCUUGUCUUUCCACGUAGAAGCAUGCAGGGAUUACGAGGGGUUGCUGGUACAUAUCGAGACUUAUGGAGGGCACGUAGACCUGAGCCCCACUGGCGAGAACACAAUCGAGCGGUCAGCGACGCUGAGCCGCGCUCAGUGAGCUCAGUGAAAAAUCCUGGAGGGCCUGAUAUUCAAACAGAAGGUAGUUUUUUUUUUUUUUUUUAAGGCAGCUCUAUUCGGCCAAAUUCAUCACGGCGAGCGUGGCCGGCAACAAGUUGCUCAACCUCAACGAUUAUUUGUGUAAAUUUUCAAGCAACUACAAAAAGAUAUUCGAUGCCAACCAAAUACUGAGGAGAGAGAAG